CGCUGGCGGCGUGCUUAACACAUGCAAGUGGAGCGACGAACCAGAGCUUGCUCUGGGGCAGAGCCGCGAACGGGUGAGUAACACGUGGGUAACCUACCCCGAUGACCGGGACAACCCGAGGAAACUCGGGCUAAUACCGGAUGUUCUCGUUUCCUCUAAGGGAAUCGAGCAAAGAUAGCUUCGGCCUUCGCAUCGGGACGGGCCCGCGGCCCAUUAGCUUGUUGGUGGGGUAACGGCCUACCAAGGCGACGAUGGGUAGCUGGUCUGAGAGGACGAUCAGCCACACUGGGACUGAGACACGGCCCAGACUCCUACGGGAGGCAGCAGUGGGGAAUCUUGCGCAAUGCGCGAAAGCGUGACGCAGCAACGCCGCGUGGGGGAAGAAGGCCUUCGGGUUGUAAACCCCUUUCAGUUGGGACGAAGCUUCGUCGGUUAAUAGCCGGCUGGAGUGACGGUACCUUCAGAAGAAGCCCCGGCUAACUACGUGCCAGCAGCCGCGGUAAUACGUAGGGGGCUAGCGUUGUCCGGAAUCAUUGGGCGUAAAGCGCGUGUAGGCGGUCCGGUAAGACCGCUGUGAAAGUCGGGGGCUCAACCCUCGGAUGCCGGUGGAUACUGUCGGGCUUGAGUACGGAAGAGGCG
rnacentral:rRNA from 1 species